rnacentral:rRNA from 1 species
GGGGGGAGCGAGCGUUGUUCGGAAUCACUGGGCGUAAAGGGCGUGUAGGCGGUUUGGGUAAGUGAGAUGUGAAAGCCCCCGGGCUCACCCGGGGAGGGUCAUCUCAUACUGCUGAACUUGAGUGCGGAAGAGGAUGAGGGAAUUCCUGGUGUAGCGGUGAAAUGCGUAGAUAUCAGGAGGAACACCGGUGGCGAAGGCGCUCAUCUGGUCCGUUACUGACGCUGAGGCGCGAAAGCUAGGGGAGCGAACGGGAUUAGAUACCCCGGUAGUCCUAGCCGUAAACGGUGGGCACUAGGUGUAGGAGGCAUCGACCCUUCCUGUGCCGCAGCUAACGCAUUAAGUGCCCCGCCUGGGGAGUACGGCCGCAAGGCUG